rnacentral:rRNA from 1 species
AGUGGGGAAUAUUGCACAAUGGGCGCAAGCCUGAUGCAGCCAUGCCGCGUGUAUGAAGAAGGCCUUCGGGUUGUAAAGUACUUUCAGCGAGGAGGAAAGGGGGCAAGUUAAUACCUUGUCUCUGUGACGUUACUCGCAGAAGAAGCACCGGCUAACUCCGUGCCAGCAGCCGCGGUAAUACGGAGGGUGCGAGCGUUAAUCGGAAUUACUGGGCGUAAAGCGCAUGCAGGCGGUUUGUUAAGCGAGAUGUGAAAGCCCCGGGCUCAACCUGGGAACUGCAUUUCGAACUGGCAAACUAGAGUCUUGUAGAGGGAGGUAGAAUUUCAGGUGUAGCGGUGAAAUGCGUAGAGAUCUGAAGGAAUACCAGUGGCGAAGGCGGCCUCCUGGACAAAGACUGACGCUCAGAUGCGAAAGCGUGGGGAGCAAA